UCAGGAUAACAUCACAACUGGUCACUAUGUUUCGUUCACACCAGAUUCUAGUUGUAACAUCGUGCAUUUGCUGGAUUACAAUCCAAGCUAGUGGAUCGUCCUCCUUCAAUGUUGUGGAAAAAAACACGUGCUCCGGGCGUUUGGGUGGUCGCAUCAUCGAGGGACAAAUUGCACCGGAUGGCGCGUUCCCUUACCAGGCGUCCUUACGUAGGUCACAAAGGCACAGUUGCGGCGGAUCGAUACUAAACGAACGGUGGAUUUUAACGGCAGCUCAUUGUCUCACCGGCCUGUCGGAUGGUGGAUUGAAUGUUGUCGUUGGCACCAACGAAUUAAAUUCCGGCGGAACGGUUUACAAAUCGGUGAAAAUUUUGUAUCAUCACAAGUAUAACAUACACAAUGUGAUUAACGACGUGGGACUUGUGAAGGUCAAUGCAACCAUAAAGUUUAGCGAAAAAGUAAAACCCGUCACUUUGGCAAAUCGUGACGUCGACUUUGACAAUUAUCCAGCUACCCUAGCUGGAUGGGGUAUACAUCAGAAAAAUGGCUAUACCGUAUCGAAUGAGUUGCGGUACUAUUCGACGUGCUUGUUGAGUAAGAAAAAGUGCGAGGAGCGGAUUAGCUUAGCCAACGGGUACCAAAAGAUAUGCACAUUUACUCGAUACGGACAAGGCGCUUGUAACGGUGAUUCUGGCAGUCCACUGGUCACAGAUGGCAUGCAGAUAGGAAUAACAUCUUACGUGAUAAAUUCUUGCGCCGACGGCAAUCCAGACGUUUUUACCCGAGUUUAUUCGUAUUUGGAUUGGAUUAAGGAUCAAAUAACCAAAUAUUCGUGAUUACAAUAUUAAAUAAUCUUUGUCGUCAAAAAAAUAAGCAGGUACAUAAAGAACUGCUACGAUGACAAUAACCUGGACCAACUCUUAUCUCGUGUACCAUAAACAUUGUUUCGUCACCUUGAAAAACGUUUACAAAUCCACACCGUGCCCGAGUCCCCAUAAAAAUAUUGGUGCCGGAACGCUGCAUUGGACAAAGCCGACCACGCGCACGUGUGCCUAUAAUUUCGUUCCUCAGCCCUCGGGGGGACAGAAUCUCGUACGCGUGUAUGUAUACGUUCGAGCGAGCUCUCCGCAUUUGACGGAGUUGAAGUGCCCGGUGGCAGCGAUAUUGAAUUAGCACUCGAUGUUAAAUAGAAUUUCGCCUCCUGCGUCAUCGCUGCCAAGCAUCAUCGAGGAAAAGUGCGGGAGCUGUACGCGCCUAAUUUUAUCGCCAAGUUGAGCGACCCUUACUUCCCCCCUCCCCCUCUCUUUGUCUCCCUGCACCUGUUGAUAAGUCGGAAUCAAAUUAUGUUGAAAUCGUGGCGCUAACGUGGCUGAAUAUGUUACGUCUUUUAAGUGUCGAAGGGCGUGUAUAGCCUGUGUAGACCUAUACGUAUAAUAUAGGCCGUCGAGUAAUGGGCGAACGAGCAAUUUGUGACUAUUUUAAAAAGAUUGUGCGUUUAUGUAUUUUUACACCAAAAUAGUUUGUAACUUUCACUCACAAUCACACUUGAUGUCUAUGGAGCACAAACGUGUCGAUGAACGUUAUGGUUAAACAAAAAAAUA